rnacentral:rRNA from 1 species
AUUGAACGCUGGCGGCAGGCCUAACACAUGCAAGUCGAACGAGUGGCGGACGGGUGAGUAAUGUAUGGGAAACUGCCCAAUGGAGGGGGAUAACUACUGGAAACGGUAGCUAAUACCGCAUACAAUCAGAGGUGCCCAGAUGGGAUUAGCUAGUUGGUGUGGUAAAGGCUCACCAAGGCGACGAUCCCUAGCUGGUCUGAGAGGAGGACCGGCCACACGGGAACUGAGACACGGUCCAGACUCCUACGGGAGGCAGCAGUGGGGAAUAUGGGACAAUGGGGGAAAGCCUGAUGCAGCCAUGCCGCGUGUAUGAGGAGGGCCUUCGGGUUGUAAAGUACUUUCAGCGGGGAGGCGGUACCCGCAGAAUAAGCACCGGCUAACUCCGUGCCAGCAGCCGCGGUAAUAC